CUCUCUUCUCUCCCAACUACCAAUGGUGUGGAUGAAUCCUACAUUGCUGAGGAGGCCCUCAAGUUUGAGCAGCAGGCAGUAGUUGAGAUAAGUAACCUCGAAGGUGCCCUUGUACAGGUGGAAGAGAAGACAGCUGAAGCUGCUGAAACCAAUGCUGAAGCUUCAGAUGCCUUGUACUUUGCUUGAAGCACCUAGGCUCCUAGCAGCAUGGCCAGGCGGGCCCGGGACGUCGAGCUAGACCGGCUGGUGCAUGACAAGCCGCUCGAUGGCGGGGAGCCCUCCCCUGCCAGCCGCGGGGCCCUAGAGCUGCUCCCCAAUGUCCCCAGCUACCGACCCGCCGCCGCCUCCCGCGCCCCCGUCCCUGCCGCCAGCAGGCCAAAGGCCGGAGUU